GUUCUUUAAUCUUUUUUGCUCUCUCCAAUCUCAAAAUAAGAGUCAUAAUAAAAUAAAAAAACGGAAAAAAGAAGAAGAAGAAUAAGAAUAAGAAGAGGUAGAUUCGAUCUCUUGACCCUCAAUCCUCUGCAGAUUUCUUGGAUACAGGAAGGCGGACUUAGUGAGAGAUUGAGCCACAAAUCUUCGUCACAAACAGAAGCUUGCAUCUUUCUUCUCUUAGUCACAGAUUCAUACAACAUUUCAU
rnacentral:misc_RNA from 1 species